GGGCAGUCAGCAGCAUAACACGACAAGACACAACAAGAAAGAACUUAACUGAAUAACUCUCAUCUUUAUUGUUUAAAUUGUUGUUAUAUUUUAAGGGUUGUUCACAUUUUAAGCUUUAAUAAAUCACUUUUCCA